AGCGAACGCUGGCGGCAGGCCUAACACAUGCAAGUCGAACGAUCCUUCGGGAUAGUGGCGGACGGGUGAGUAACACGUGGGAACGUGCCCUUUGGUUCGGAAUAACUCAGGGAAACUUGAGCUAAUACCGGAUGUGCCCUUCGGGGGAAAGAUUUAUCGCCAUUGGAGCGGCCCGCGUUGGAUUAGCUAGUUGGGGGGGUAAAGGGCCACCAAGGCUACGAUCCAUAGCUGGUCUGAGAGGAUGAUCAGCCACACUGGGACUGAGACACGGCCCAGACUCCUACGGGAGGCAGCAGUGGGGAAUCUUGCGCAAUGGGCGAAAGCCUGACGCAGCCAUGCCGCGUGAAUGAUGAAGGUCUUAGGAUUGUAAAAUUCUUUCACCGGGGACGAUAAUGACGGUACCCGGAGAAGAAGCCCCGGCUAACUUCGUGCCAGCCGCCGCCGUAACAC
rnacentral:rRNA from 1 species